rnacentral:lncRNA from 1 species
UAUAGAGAGGGGUGUCAGGACAGUGUGAUGCUGGGUGGGGUAUGUGGGUAUGUGUGGGGCAGUAUAGAAGAGGAUGCCUGGACAGUGUGAUGCUGGGUGGGGUAUGUGGGUAUGUGUGGGGCAGUAUAGAAGAGGAUGUCAGGACAGUGUGAUGCUGGGUGGGGUAUGUAGGUAUGUGUGGGGCAGUAU